rnacentral:rRNA from 1 species
AGCAGCCGCGGUAAUUCCAGCUCCAAUAGCGUAUAUUAAAGUUGCUGCAGUUAAAAAGCUCGUAGUCGAAUUUCGGGAUCAAUAUGUUGGUCGUGCCUUGGUACGUACUGGCGUCAUUGGUUUCUACCUUCUGAAGAACCUCGAUGUCAUUAAUUUGGUGUCUUGGGGGAAUCAGGACUGUUACUUUGAAAAAAUUAGAGUGUUUAAAGCAAGCUCACGCUUGAAUACAUUAGCAUGGAAUAAUGAAAUAGGACGUUUUGAUUCUAUUUUUGUUGGUUUCUAGGAUCGACGUAAUGAUUAAUAGGGAUAGUUGGGGGGCAUUAGUAUUUCAAUUGUCAGAGGUGAAAUUCUUGGAUUUAUUGAAGACUAACUACUGCGAAAGCAUUUGCCAAGGAUGUUUUCAUUAAUCAAGAACGAAAGUUAGGGGAUCGAAGACGAUCAGAUACCGUCGUAGUCUUAACCAUAAACUAUAGCCGACUAGGGAUCGGAUGAUGUUAAUUUUUAUGACUCAUUCGGCGUC